GUUGGCUGCUUCACUUUAUUGAAUAUUUGGCGCCUGGGUUUACUAGUAGAGUAACCAAAUCCUGUGGUCACCUAAAAACAUGACCUAUACAUGAAUGUAGUUGAACAAAAAGACACUUUCUUUUUUAAUUGAAACGCAAACGUCCUACUCCAAAAGAAGCGAAUCAAAGAUUGUUCUGGUGCUUUAUUAACUGCUGAAAAACACAACAAAGCCAGGAACCAAAUGAUUCCAUUUCAGGAAAGAAAAAAAAAUCUCUAACUUGACUCCGUUGCUGGCGAAAUAAGUCCAUUUUAAUAAUCCAAUUACUGGAUCUAUGAGGAGGAGGAGGAUUUGUUGGACAUUCAGAAUGUUUACCAAGAGAGAGUAAGUGAUGGAAUCUCGAAUGGAUCAGUAUGAGAUCAUGGAGCAGAUCGGUCGCGGUGCCUUCGGCGCCGCCAUUCUUGUCCACCAUAAGUCCAAGAAGAAGAAGCACCUCUCUCUUUCCGUCUCCAUUCGUAUGUGUUGAAGAAGAUCCGGCUUGCACGGCAAACUGAGCGAUGCGGGAGAUCUGCUCAUCAAGAAAUGGUCUUUAUUGCGCGAAUUCAACAGCCUUGCAUUGUAGAAUUCAAAGAAGCAUGGGUUGAGAAGAAACUUUGCAUGUGGUUCACACAACUACUGCUAGCUGUUGAAUAUCUGCAUGCCAAUUUCGUUCUGCAUCGUGACCUGAAAUGUUCCAACAUCUUUCUUACCAGAGAUCAGGAUGUUCGCCUUGGUGAGUUUCUUUUACUGACAUUUAGUUAUCAUUUCCUUGGACUUUAUUGCUCUAUUAAUUUUUUUUUUCUUGAUCAUAUUUCGGGGAUUUUGGACUUGCUAAAACUUUGAAAGCAGAUGACUUGGCCUCCUUGGUAUAUGCUCUUUUAUUGGAUUGAUUUUGUUUCAAAUUUUUGUUAUUGCCAUUUGCCUGUUUUAUGGAAUGUAAGUUCUUGAGCUAGAUUUCCUAUUUUCUCCUUUGAGAUAUUUUUUCCCCUUGCAUUUCUUUUUUGUCCACAACUGUGUAGAACUAUAAGAAGCAGGAUAAUGCAGAAAUAUCUAUUUUUGCAUUUGAGACUCAUUGCAUGAAGAUGAAAUCCUUACAUUAUAGACUACGUAGAUUUAUAAGAAAUGUAAUAUAUUAAAUGUGUAUGUAACAAUUCAUCUUUAUGGGAAGAGGUGGCCGUGCUUUAUUUUUCUUGCUAAUUGCAUUUGAAGUUCAUGUGGCCAAAGCUGAGUUCUUUGAAUUUUUACUAUAGCUAUUCAUGUCUAAUCACUUCACUAAAAAGAAAUGAGUGCAUGACAUAUUUUUUCUGAAAAUUUAUUUCAUUUUUUUUUUAGUGAUAGAAAUCUGAUCAAGGGAAUAAGCUCAUUUCAAAUGAUUAAUUGUUGACGAAGAAAUAAAAUUUUCAGAUUAUCUAGAAGACAUAUAUGCCCAAAGACCAAAUGUCUGAUUUGAAACCAUAAGGAAUAUCUGCAAGGAGUUCAGGACACAUAUAAUUGGGAGUUCCAACCACCUGCGCAUAUGGUUACAAAACAACUUUUAGUCUCAAGAUGGUGAAGCAAUUAACAAUCAUCUCUUACGAUAGGGAAUUACUAUAUCAUCGAUUCCUUUGCAAAAAUUGUGUUUAACUGCUGCUUCUUGUCUAAACAAUUUGUUUAUGUGUAGAUCACCAUAUCUUUCCUGAUGUUGCAUAGAACACAUUGUAUUAAGUAUUACUGGAGUCACUCAUCAAUUCUAGUUAGUAUUAACAUAUAAAUUGAUACAGUAAAUGGAAUGUGACAUUUUCUUUAUUUUUAAUGCUGUGCAACAGAAUGACAUUAGAUUAAAAUAUGUAAGGGGUUCUUGGAGUUCAAUCAUUGCUUGAAAUUUCCAUGCAUUCUCAACCAUCAUGAUAACCUAAUGGGAUUUGCUUGCCUUUCAUUUACAGAGUUUUUAUGCACUGAAAUAGUUUGCAAAGCCAGCUGAGUUUCUGUAUAUUUUAACAACACAUGCAGGCAUGUUCUAUUGUCACUGCAUAAAGUAUUACUAAAAAAAUUAGUGACUGCUAUAGGUUCUGAACUCUUUUGCCUUUACAAUGCACUCCAGAAUUUAAAGUUCUUUAGAAAUUAGAAGCAUGCAUGAUCAGGGAUUUAGUGUUAAGUAUCUGUUUAAGGGUUUCUGUAACUUAUUUUAUAUUUGAUUUCAUGAGUUGAGUUUUUCAACUUUCUCUCAUUUACAAAAUGCCUCUAUAUGUCUUUCAGGACAUGGCAGGACUGAUAAGCAAGAUAAAUCGUUCCUCAAUUGGCCCUCUUCCUUCUUGCUACUCUCCACCCUUAAAAACAUUGAUCAAAGGCAUGUUGA